AUGGCACCGUUUUAAGCUUCAGUACGCAACCGUUACAUAAAACCCUAAACCCCAGGACCAAGGAUUUCUGGGUCCACUGUGUGGAACCGAUGAAUCAAUUCCUUACCGUCGGUCGUCAGCUCUCCGAUUAUUCUUUUUUCUUGCACUGAAAUACAACGAGCUUUUCUCUCAUAUUUUACAGGUUUAAUCAAAGACGAUUACUCGAAAACUUUGACUCUUAAAUCACAAUCUCGGUGGUAAUUUCAUCUUCAAAUGGGAAGAUUCAGUUGGUUAAGGCUGUAUCGGCGGCAUUUGCUCGCAUCUGCGGCUAAGGAUCAAGACUUCCUUGGAAGGGUCUCUGAAUUGCGCCCACAAGCUUUGCACAGAUUUGGUUUUCUUUCUGGGAGACCUGUUGAUUAUGCAACUGCGAGGCUGCCGUUGGGAAUUCGUUAUAUUCAUGCCACAGGAUUUUCUUCUUCGGCUGAACGAAACUACUAUGAAAUUCUUGAUGUUCCUGAAAAUGCUAGUCGAGAUGAAAUUAAAAAAGCAUUCCAUUCGCUUGCAAAGAAGUACCAUCCGGAUGCAAAUAAGAAUAAACCUUCUGCAAAGAGGAAAUUUCAAGAGAUUAGAGAAGCCUACGAGACUUUACAAGAUCCUGAAAAGAGGGCACAAUAUGACAGGAAGCACACCCAAGGUUCAGAAAACGUAGAAUAUGCUGGUGGUGGUGCAGAUGGGUUUAGAUAUGCUUACCAAACUCAUUUCUCCGAUUCAUUCCAUAAAAUAUUUUCCGAGAUCUUUGAACAUGAGACUGAUCGUUUUGCGUCUGAUAUCCAGGUUGAGUUGUCACUCUCCUUUUCUGAAGCUGCAAAAGGAUGCACAAAAAAUCUGUCUUUUGAUGCAUUUGUGCCCUGUGAUUUUUGCCAUGGGCGUGGCUAUCCACUUGAUGCCGAGAUAAAAGUUUGUCCAACUUGUGGAGGCAUAGGGAGAGUUACAAUUCCUCCAUUUACAUCAAGGUGUGGCACUUGUAAAGGGUCUGGCCAAAUUAUUAAGGAAUACUGUAUGUCAUGUAAAGGAUCAGGGGUAGUUGAAGGUGUUAAGGAGGUUAAAGUUACAAUUCCAGCAGGUGUGGAUGCCGGAGAUACUAUUCGUGUACCAGGAGCUGGUAGUGGAGGAAGAGGAAGUCAAGCUGGCAGCUUAUUUAUUAAAAUAAAGGUUGUUGAAGAUCCUGUCUUCACUAGAGAUGGUGCAGACAUUUAUGUGGAUUCUAAUAUUAGCUUUACGCAAGCUAUUCUUGGUGGCACAGUUGAUGUUCAAACUUUAUCCGGGAAGGUGCAAGUUAAAAUACCAAAAGCAGUUCAGCCAGGACAACUUCUGGUACUAAGAGGCAAAGGACUGCCUAAGCAUGGUUUUCUUGUAAGCCAUGGAGAUCAGUAUGUGCGCUUCCGUGUUAACUUCCCCACUGUUCUAAAUGAACGCCAGCGUGCCAUACUUGAAGAAUUUGCACAGGAGGAGAUAAGUAAUGCAAACAGUAACUCUACUGAAGGAAAUUGGUGGCAGCAAAUUCUUGAGCAUAUAACGGGUCCUAGGUUUAUGCUCGAACUAUCUCUAAUCAUGUUGAUCCUUCUAUUCCUGAAGAAAAUCAUGGGCUGAAUGCUGAUUCAAGAUGAUUUGAUGGAUGUGUAUCUGGCGUUAUCCUUUGGAGUUUUGUUGAUUGAAGUUAUUUUCAGCUAAGUGAUCGAGACGAGCAUUGGCGUGCAACAUAAUGGAUUCUAAUCUUGAAUUAAGAACCUGCUUUCAGCAAUAUGCCUUUAGGCAAAUUUUUGUUAAGGGUACAACCGGUUAGAAGUGCUGGUUUUUGGAAGUCCAAGGUGGUUUGAUAUAUAUAGGGGAUUUCCAGGUCGUCUCAUUAAUUGGAGACUGGUGUCUCUUUUUUAUGCUAUAGAUGGACAAGCCAUUUUUAGAAGCUCUGGAAGUAUCUCUCAGCCCUUCUGGAGAAGCAUAAGUUCUUCUUUGCCAAAUGUGUGAACUACUUUUUGUACAUGAAAGGUGGCUCAAAUGGCAUUUAAGACAAACCGUGGCUAGUUAAUGUGGGGAGAUUGACAAUGCCUUGGCAAAUUGUUUAAGCCGCUCGACUAUGCUUCUGGAUUUUAAAGAUGGUUGCUUUUUUUGUUUGUUCAUCAAAAUUCCCUUCCUUAUCACAGUUCCUUACUAGUUACCUGUUCCUUAAAGAAUGACUUAUCAUU